AUUGAACGCUGGCGGCAUGCCUUACACAUGCAAGUCGAACGGCAGCACGGGAGCAAUCCUGGUGGCGAGUGGCGAACGGGUGAGUAAAGUAUCGGAACGUGCCCAGUCGUGGGGGAUAACGUAGCGAAAGUUACGCUAAUACCGCAUACGAUCUAUGGAUGAAAGCGGGGGAUCGCAAGACCUCGCGCGAUUGGAGCGGCCGAUAUCAGAUUAGGUAGUUGGUGGGGUAAAGGCUCACCAAGCCGACGAUCUGUAGCUGGUCUGAGAGGACGACCAGCCACACUGGGACUGAGACACGGCCCAGACUCCUACGGGAGGCAGCAGUGGGGAAUUUUGGACAAUGGGCGAAAGCCUGAUCUAGCCAUGCCGCGUGCAGGAUGAAGGCCUUCGGGUUGUAAACUGCUUUUGUACGGAACGAAAAGGUUUGGCCUAAUAAGCUGAGCUCAUGACGGUACCGUAAGAAUAGGCACCGGCUAACUACGUGCCAGCAGCCGCCGUAA
rnacentral:rRNA from 1 species